rnacentral:rRNA from 1 species
GAUGAACGCUGGCGGCGUGCCUAAUACAUGCCAGUCGAGCGAACGGACGAGAAGCUUGCUUCUCUGUCGUUAGCGGCGGGCGGGUGAGUAACACGUGGAUAACCUCCCUAUAAGACUGGGAUCAUUUCGGGAAACCGGAGAUAAUACCGGAUAAUAUCUUGAACCGCAUGGUUCAAUAGUGAAAUACGGUCUUUCUGUCUCUUAUAGAUGGAUCCCCGCUGCAUUAGCUAGUUGGUAAGGUAACGGGUUACCAAGGCAACGAGGCAUAGCCGAGCUGAGAGGGUGAUCGGCCACACUGGAACUGAGACACGGUCCAGACUCCUACGGGAGGCAGCAGUAGGGAAUCUUCCGCAAUGGGCGAAAGCCUGACGGAGCAACGCCGCGUGAGUGAUGAAGGUCUUCGGAUCGGAAAACUCUGUUAUUAGGGAAGAACAUAUGUGUAAGUAACUGUGCACAUCUUGACGGUACCUAAUCAGAAAGCCACGGCUAACUACGUG